CGAACCAAUAGUGCAGUGCAGUAGCGUGUCCAAGAAUUUUCAACGGUAGGGGACUUAUUGUUAUGGAAUUUUUUCGUCGGUUAGGCGAAUUAAAAUCCUAAUAUGUUUUUACACUAACCAGCAUAUGCAUUGCUUCUAAAUGGGCUUGUAUUACUAUAACGUUUCCCCAAAAAAAGUUUGUUUUAAUUUUUAAUUCUUGACGAAUAUUUCUUUCAUGUAAUCAAAUUUCGUCAUCUUGUCAUCUGACUGUGGCAUGGAGAAACAAAGGUCAAACAAAAAAAAUCAAAAAAAAAGUUAUUACAAUAACUAUGGAUUUAACGUGAGAUUU